rnacentral:rRNA from 1 species
CGAACGGGUGAGUAAUACAUCGGAACGUGCCCAGUCUGGGGGAUAACUACUCGAAAGAGUAGCUAAUACCGCAUACGAUCUGAGGAUGAAAGCGGGGGACCUUCGGGCCUCGCGCGAUUGGAGCGGCCGAUGGCAGAUUAGGUAGUUGGUGGGAUAAAAGCUUACCAAGCCGACGAUCUGUAGCUGGUCUGAGAGGACGACCAGCCACACUGGGACUGAGACACGGCCCAGACUCCUACGGGAGGCAGCAGUU